AUUUAAAUAGCUUAAUUAGAGUUUAAUAUUGAAGAUAUUAAGGUGAUUGAAAAAAAUCUUUAAAUA
rnacentral:tRNA from 1 species